GCCCCCCUGCCCAUCUCCUCCUCUCUCCAUUCUUGCAGCCACCAAACCCUAGCCGCCCCCGCCCCCCUCAAUCCCCUCCUCCCAAGGUGCCAAUCCUUGCCGCUCGGAUCAUCGUCGUCGUGGUGCGAGUCUUCAAUCGUUUUGGUGGAGGGAAGAAGGGAGGAAGGAAAGGGGGAGAAUCCAAGGUGAUUUUUGUGUUCAUCCCUUGUUCAUUUGCGCUGCAAUUUAAUUGAUUAGAGGUUGCGUUUGCGAUUGGGUAGAGGGGGCUGUCCAGAAUUUUAGGUGGUGGGUGAACAGCAGUAGUAUAGCAGUUUCUGUGUUUUUUUCGUGAGGAAUUAAGGGAAAUCAGUUUGGGGAUCAUGUAGAACUUUACCUUACCUUUCCAACGAGUAUUUAUGCGCUCAAUUUGGAGUUAUAAAUUGAAAGUUAUCACCGUUUGAAUCCGGGUAUGUGGCUGUCCAAAAAAAAACAGAUUUUCAGGGGAAUGAACAGCAGCAGUAUUAGCAGUUUCUGGGGAUUUUUCGGGAGUAAUUAGUGUUAAUCAGUAUGAGCAUCAUGUAGGGAUUUAUGUUAUCUUUCCAACAAGUACUUAUGCGCUCGAUUCGGAGUUAUAAUUCAUGAGAUAUCGUUGUUUGAAUCCGGUUAUGUUGCUGUCCAAAAAAACAGAUUUUUCAGGUGGGUGAACAGCAGUGGUAUUAGCAGUUUCUGGGAAUUUUUCGUGGGUAAUUAGUGUUAACCAGUAUGGUAAUCAUGUAGGGAUUUGUCUUAUCUUUCCAAUGAGUACUUAUGCGCUUGAUUUGGAAUUAUAUUUUAAAAGAUAUCGCUGUUUGAAUCUGGGUAUGUCGCUGUCCAAAAGACAAAGAAAAACAGAUUACAGGGUUCAUCUUGUGGACUGUUUUGGGCUAAUUAGAUAUUGGAAUUUAAUUAUAAAUUGUAUACAAAACUUGUGGGGAAUUUUAUGUAGAUGCCUCUGGAGUUUUUGUUUGUUACCACUGCUGUCAUAAUUUUAAAGUUAUGAAAUUAUUAAACAGCGCUGCUGCAGUUUGGUGGGUGUAGGGAGAGAUGUAACCCGCGGCGGGGUUUGAGUUGUGCGUAGGUGCGGCGUCGCUUAUGGGCCUGAUUAUGUGAAAUUGGUGUACUAAGUUGGGUGUCAAAAACAGGUGGUGGACUUCCGG
rnacentral:lncRNA from 1 species